rnacentral:rRNA from 1 species
UACGUAGGGCGCAAGCGUUGUCCGGAAUUGAUUGGGCGUAAAGAGCUCCGUAGGCGGUCUGUCGCGUCGGCUGUGAAAACCCGAGCUCAACCUCGGGCCUGCAGUCCGAUACGGGCAGACUAGAGUGCUGUAGGGGAGACUGGAAUUCCUGGUGUAGCGGUGAAAUGCGCAGAUACUCAGGAGGAACACCGGUGGCGAAGGCGGGUCUCUGGGGCAGUAACUGACGCUGAGGAGCGAAAGCGUGGGGAGCAAACAGG